rnacentral:rRNA from 1 species
AACGAACGCUGGCGGCGUGCCUAACACAUGCAAGUCGAACGCGAAAGGGGGCAACCCCCGGUAGCGUGGCAGACGGGUGAGUAACACGUGGGUAACCUACCCGGAGGUGGGGGAUAACCCUUCGAAAGGAGGGCUAAUACCGCAUGACAUCGCGGGGACUUCGGUCCUUGCGAUCAAAGCUGGCCUCUGUUUACAAGCUAGCGCCACCGGAUGGGCCCGCGCCCCAUUAGCUAGUUGGUGAGGUAACGGCUCACCAAGGCGACGAUGGGUAGCCGGCCUGAGAGGGCGAUCGGCCACACUGGAACUGCGACACGGUCCAGACUCCUACGGGAGGCAGCAGUGAGGAAUAUUGCGCAAUGGGCGAAAGCCUGACGCAGCGACGCCGCGUGGAGGAUGAAGGUCUUCGGAUUGUAAACUCCUGUCGAGUGGGACGAAUGCCGUGAGGGUGAAUACCCCUCGCGGUUGACGGUACCGCUGGAGGAAGCCCCGGCUAACUCCGUGCCAGCCGCCGCGGUAAGAC